rnacentral:rRNA from 1 species
GAUGAACGCUGGCGGCGUGCCUAACACAUGCAAGUCGAACGAAGCUCCCCGAAUUGAGUUUUCGGACAAGAGGAAGGGAUGACUUAGUGGCGGACGGGUGAGUAACGCGUGAGCAACCUGCCUCGGAGUGGGGGACAACAGUUGGAAACGACUGCUAAUACCGCAUAACGUGCAGAGGGGACAUCUCCUUUGCACCAAAGAUUUAUUGCUCUGAGAUGGGCUCACGUCUGAUUAGUUAGUUGGUAGGGUAACGGCCUACCAAGACUGCGAUCAGUAGCCGGACUGAGAGGUCGAACGGCCACAUUGGGACUGAGAUACGGCCCAGACUCCUACGGGAGGCAGCAGUGGGGAAUUUUGGACAAUGGGCGAAAGCCUGAUCCAGCCAUGCCGCGUGCAGGAUGAAGGCCUCGGUUGUAACUGCUUUGUACGGUAACGAAAGACUACCUUCUAACUAAAGGGGUUACGAUGACGGUACCGUAAGAAUAAGACACCGGCUAACUAACGUGCCAGCACG